GACGAACGCUGGCGGCGUGCUUAACACAUGCAAGUCGAGCGGUAAGGCUCCUUCGGGGGUACACGAGCGGCGAACGGGUGAGUAACACGUGAGUAAUCUGCCCUUCACUUUGGGAUAAGCUUCGGAAACGGGGUCUAAUACCGGAUAUGACGGCCGCACGCAUGUGUGGUUGUGGAAAGUUUUUUCGGUGGGGGAUGUGCUCGCGGCCUAUCAGCUUGUUGGUGGGGUAAUGGCCUACCAAGGCUUUGACGGGUAGCCGGCCUGAGAGGGUGACCGGCCACACUGGGACUGAGACACGGCCCAGACUCCUACGGGAGGCAGCAGUGGGGAAUAUUGGACAAUGGGCGGAAGCCUGAUCCAGCAACGCCGCGUGAGGGAUGACGGCCUUCGGGUUGUAAACCUCUUUCGUCAUCGACGAAGCCCAGUGUUGAUCUGGGUGACGGUAGGUGGGGAAGAAGCACCGGCCAACUACGUGCCAGCAGCCGCGGUAAAAC
rnacentral:rRNA from 1 species